AGAGUUUGAUCCUGGCUCAGGAUGAACGCUAGCGACAGGCUUAACACAUGCAAGUCGAGGGGCAGCACAGGUAGCAAUACCGGGUGGCGACCGGCGCACGGGUGAGUAACGCGUAUGCAACUUGCCUAUCAGAGGGGGAUAACCCGGCGAAAGUCGGACUAAUACCGCAUGAAGCAGGGGCCCCGCAUGGGGAUAUUUGCUAAAGAUUCAUCGCUGAUAGAUAGGCAUGCGUUCCAUUAGGCAGUUGGCGGGGUAACGGCCCACCAAACCGACGAUGGAUAGGGGUUCUGAGAGGAAGGUCCCCCACAUUGGAACUGAGACACGGUCCAAACUCCUACGGGAGGCAGCA
rnacentral:rRNA from 1 species